UACAGAGGUCUCAAGCGUUGUCCGGAUUUAUUGGGCGUAAAGAGCGUGUAGGCGGUUUGGUAGGUCCGCUGUGAAAACUCGAGGCUCAACCUCGAGACGCCGGUGGAAACCAUCAGGCUAGAGUCCGGAAGAGGAGAGUGGAAUUCCUGGUGGUAGCGGUGAAAUGCGCAGAUAUCAGGAAGAACACCCGUGGCUAAGGCGGCUCUCUAGUACGGUACUGACGCUGAGACGCGAAAGCGUGGGGAGCGAACAGG
rnacentral:rRNA from 1 species